UUGGCGAAACGACAAUGGAGGACACCCACCUGUACGAGAGUUUUAUUGAGGUUUAUUUUGAAAUCGGCCUAAAACACAAAGACAUUCAAGCAGUGCUUAACAAGAGGCACAGUUUUCACAUAAACGAUGCUGCUUUUCGAGCAAGCUGGUUCCAGUGCAAGUUCGGAGCCAGUGUCUGACUGAGCACCAGUUCCUUGUGUUUCCACCAACUAACCACCGGCUCCUGGGGACGCAGCAGUUAUCGGCCAAAACAAUCCCGCUUUGACCGGCUGCAUUCUGUGAUUCCAGCCGGGGCCCUGAACGCCACAGUCGUGCUGGACUUGAUGCACUACGAGUCUGCCAUGCAGACCAACGAUCCUGAUCCUGUUGUCGGCCUUGGAGGAUGAGGUCCAGUUACCAGGACUGUUACUCUGCAGCUCACAGAUCCCAUCCUGCAGCUCAUCCAUGCCGUCCUCCUCUCAACAGACCAAAUCAAGUAAGAUCUGUUUAGACUGUGCAAACAUGAACAUGAUCAAUAUGUUAACUUUCAGCCCAUCCUAAAAUCACAAAACAGAACAGUACUAGUUGUUAGCAUUGUUUUUUUCCAUUUGUCAUUCUCAUCCCUGAUAUAUAUAUAAUUGUAUAUAUUUAAUUUUUAUUUUAUGUAUUUUUUCAGUAAUGCUAGAUAUUAUCUGUAAUGACAAAACAGGGAAAAAUCUGUAAAAUAAGAGUAAAUAGUUUUUUUUUAAAAUUACAGUAAAAUAUUAUUAUUAUUAUUAUUAGUAGUAGUAGUAGUAGUAGUAGUAUUAGUAGUAGUAGUAGUAGUAGUAGUAGUAGUAGUAGUGGCAGUAGUAAUAUUUUUAUCAUGAACCUGUGUUCUGCAUUGCUUGGUUUGUGAGCUUAGUUUUUAUUCUAUUUUGUAUUUAGUUUAGUUUGUUGCCUUUAGUUGAGUUUUUGGGUAACUUUUACUACUUAUAGCUUGUCUAAACUUAUUAACGUUGUUAAAACUCACACUUUCGUUUUCAAAUCCUGCCUCCUUUGUUUGCGUUUGCUCUUGAUCUGCAUUCUAACUGCAUUUUUUUAAACCACCGAGACUCUCAAUAAAAGACAACUCAAUUUCAAAAUCAGCUUUUUUUAUUCUUUAAUACAAUCCAUAAAUACAAAGCAAAAUAAACAUACAUCUUUUAAAAAACUAAAGAAAUACAUCAAGGCCUGUUUCAGCCACAUAAACGCUCGUCAAACAUCCUCUCAACCAACUUUUCAGCUCGUCCUCUCUCACACUUUGCUGUGUGCGUUUUAUUAAAUAAGAACAAUAAGCUGCAACUAGAAAUGACACGGUCAGUGCAAGUGAACAGAAGUAGUCAGCAGCUGAGACGUUGGGGUCGCAGUGAAUCACAGCUGAAGUCGACUGAAACAAAUCCGAACAAGACGAUGUUAAAAGGUUGUUCAGACUAAACCUGCAAUAAAUCAGGUUUGAGGGAAUUAAAACUAUAGUGAAAGCGGAGAGUUUCUUCUCAAUUGGACUCAACAACUUACUGUUUCCAUCUCAUCUCUCAAUCUUAAAAUAAAUAAGACCAAAGAUUAAACUCGUCUGAAUGUUUGAAUAUAACAACACACGACAUCUACUACAAAGAAAAGGCUCAGUUCUUUUCACACUGAUUUGGAGUGUUUUUUAAGUUUUACACUGGAUUCAAUACAGAGACUGCAGGUAAACCAGGUGAUGUGAACCUGGAACCACUAAAGCAGCAUCUCUGAUUUCUAUUCAUUGGAAAAAAAUCAAUAUCUUACAUAUAUUCGGUUAAAUCUGACCAUAAAUAUACAUUAAACCAACUCUUGUAUAAGUCUAGACAAUCAGUCACUCUUAUAUUAACUGUAUUGAAUGCAUCAGUUUAAUAAUAAAUCUGACAAUGAUGCCAUUAAUCAAUAAAUAAGUCACCAACUCAUUGACUUCAAUUGAGCUUAAAGUAAAAUUAAGAAAAAAAACAUCUUCGUACCGUCAGCCGAGACAUUGUCCAGCAAUAUAUGGCGAUCAAUGAAUCAAUCAGAGCUAAUAAUCACAUUAUUAAUGACAUUCUGAUUGGAUUUCACAUUGUCGAUCAAAGGCUGCCCUCCACAAUGACCAGACGUGUUUAUGAUCAGCAGGUUGAAGAUCAGCCUGAGGAGUUGCUGGUUCAAAUCCCUGAACCAGGAGGAGGUAGGUUAAUCUAAGAUCUCCUCCAGCAGCCGGUUUCCUGAGGGACUCGGUGUGUGUGAGUCAACAUGUGAGGCUGAAAAACACUUUGAAAAGCUUCCCUGGAUGAGUGUUUGUUUCGUGAACCUCAGUGUGGACCAGAAAAUACUGAAUUUGUAACUGUUUCUCCAGCAGAUCCUGCAGCUCAGUCUGAGUCUAAGUCCUCGUCUUCGGGUUCUACUUGUUGGGGUUCUCCUCGUUGAAGUUGCACAGGAGGCUCUUGGCUCCGUUCUGCCACGAAUACAGCGUCUCCAUUGGAGUUUUUCCAUCCUGCACAGGAGAAACACAAAACCUGUGUUGGUUUCUCUGUCUAUUUGUCUGUCUGUUCGCAAUUUUACUCAAAGACGGAGAGGGCAGAGUAGUACUUAUAGAUGGACAACAGGAAGGGCUAGUAACUGAGGUGUGGUCCUACUCCUGAAGCUCAUCUAAAGAUUUCAUCUCCAUAAAAACUCCCUUUUUUGAUUAAACCUUUAUUACUCUGCCAAGGAAUGCAACGGAGAAAUGUGAUGAUCGGCUUGUCUGUCUGUUAGCAACAUUACUUAAAAACAGACUAACGGAUUUGGAUGAAAUUUUCAGGGAAGGUCAGAAAUGACACAAGGACCAAGUGAUUAGAUUUUGGCAGUGAUGCAGCUUAAAGUCUGGAUCCACGGAUUUGUUAAAGAUUUCUGUAUCAUUGCCAGAUAGCAGCACGGCGUCACUGUAACUAUGACAACAAGUGAACACUACGUCAGCUGCAUGUUGAUGAUCACAUGAUUAGGAUCCUACUACAGAUCCACCCCUGCGGACCACAAAUUUUUAAAAGAUUUCAUCCGUCAGAAAUCAUACAACGACUGAGUCGCCUUGGUGGAGUACUGCACUCUCUGAGUGCUUUCUUGUUGUUUUUGUGACUGAAUUUGACUUUUUCUGACUAUAUUCAGGUCUUAUUACGGUACCCAACUACUUCAGUUGCAAUUUCUGGCUGACCACUGAGCUUUACUGCAUUUUUAAAUGCACUUAAUACUGCAAGGAACCAAUGGACAGCACACGUCAUAUUAAUACUUCUUCUUAUACCCAAGGCAAGCAGUUAUUGAUGUAAAAACAUGCUGUUUCUAUGAAAAACUUUCAUUUUUUUCUAUCAAAGCACCUUGUAAACUUAUUUUUUACUGUUAUUUAUUCAUAUACUACCGUUCAAAAGUUUGAGGCCACUUACAAAUGUCCUGAUUUUUGAAAGAAAACCAAUUUUUUCAAUGAAGAUAACAUUAAAUGAAUGAUAAAUCUAGUGUAGACAUUGAUAAUGUGGUAAAUGACUAUUGUAGCUGGAAACAGCUGAUUUUUAAUGGAAUAUCUCCAUAGAGGUACAGAGGAACAUUUCCAGCAACCAUCACUCCUGUGUUCUAAUGCUACAUUGUGUUAGCUAAUGGUGUUGAAAGGCUCACUGAUGAUUAGAAAACCCUUGUGCAGUUAUGUUAGCACAUGAAUAAAAGUGUGAGUUUUCAUGGAAUACAUGGAAUCGCCUGGGUGACCCCAAACUUUUAAACGGUAGUGUACUUUACUUGAGUUUAUGCUCCUUUUUUACGACAUUUCAUGUUGGAAUAUUGGACUUUUUGCUGCUAGUUACUUUUCUAAUUUGGAUUUUUUUGUGCAAAACUUACAGUCACUUGAGAAAAUAAAAUGUUGAGAACAUUGUUAAACCACUCAACAGUGUAUUGAGUGAGUAAAUUAGCUCAAAAUCAUCCAAGUACAGCAUACAUAUUAACAAAUCGAAUGAUAAUGAUUCAGUAUUUUCAUUCUACAACAACAACAUGGGCUAUUUUGCAGGAUGAGCAUUGCAGAGGAAUGCUUUUACUGCUUAAAGUGGAUUGCUGGAGUGUUUUCAUGCCUUUAUUAUCAUUGUACUACAAUCAUUUUUGACACCUUAAGCACAUUUCAUUGCUUCUACUUCUGCAUUUUUAUAUAAACAGCCUUCUGCUGUGUCGCUUCUCUUAGGUAAGGAAUUGAUUUAAAUACUUCCAUUGCUGCAAGCCUCAGGUUUGCAGGCUUACAUAGAAAACAGCAUCAGUUUAUAUGAUGAAUUGUGAAGGCGCAGCUCAAUCACCCACAGGGCAUUUAGAGCUUAGAAGAAUUUACUGAGCCACAGACUGCUGUCAGAGCUGUGGAGGUGUCAUGAUUUACUCACAGAGUUCUUGGUGUUGAGACUUGCCCCGUACAUCAUCAACAGCUUGAUCAUCUUGAAUCUGUUUAUCCUCACGGCGUCGUGCAUGGGAGUGUCUCCGUCCUAUAGCCGGGAAAGAACACACUAAUUCAGUUUAAUGAUCUCAAUGAGAGCAGUGGAGUUUUGAUUUAUUUCUGGGUGAAAAAAGGUCACAGAGGGUUUAUUUCACUCAGCAGGGAAAAUGUUUUAAUUAUCGCUGGCACGCUUUUACCAAACUGUGAGGAAAGACAGCAGCUGCUCCCUCUGAACUUGGUUUUUACUGCUUCAAUAACUGUUUAAUGAAGGUGUUAUAAAAGUUUAUUCUGUCCUGAUUUAACGAGUCUGCAGCUCCGUCCCUGUACGUCCUGCAGCAGGUGAUUCUGAGGAGUCUUUGCUCGGUUCUUACUCUGUCUUUGGCGUUGACGUCGGCUCCACAGUGGAUGAGAUGCUCGGCACAUUGGCAGUGUCCCGUCCUCACGGCGACGUGGAGGGGGGUGCUGUGCAGCUGAGUAAAGCAAGACAGGGGAGAAUAAUAUGAGAAACCACAUGCAUUACUGUCCAUCACCUCAGGAUGGUGCUAAAGUGACAGAUCUGCAAAGCAAAGCUUCACAUGAGGUGACCUGGAGAAACUUGAAAGAAUGAAUGCAUGCUUUUAUUUCAGACCUGUGAGGGGAAAAAAGCCACAAAAACAAACCAAAAUUUUCAAAACAAACAAAACAAAGCCAAAAAUAAUAGCCCAGCAUAUCCGAAAAGGAGAAGGACGAAGCUUAUUUCCACCUACCCCUUCUCCAUCUCACUACCUUACUUCCACAGUUAUUUAUGUACAUAUUUACACACAAAAGAUGAGGUAAAAAAUAUAAAUAACAUAACUAAUCAGUGUCAAAGCCCCUCGACCCCCCUACACUUUGUGAAAACCACAUUUUUGUACUGCUUUUUAAACUGCUUGGAUGUUGCUUGAGCUCCAACCCGUUCCAUAACCUCAGCCCACAUAUUAAAAGACAAAAUGACUUCAGUGUUGUGUGAAAUCUACCAUGUUUUAAUUUUAAAUCCCCCCUUCGAUUAUACUGAUUAAAGCUCUCAGGGUUUGUGGACCAACCUUGUCUCUGGAGGUGAAUUUGGCUCCCUGGUCCAGGAGGAGCUGCAGGGCCUCCAGGCUGCCUCCUCUGCAGGCCCAGUGGACGGCCGUCGCCUCCAGCUGCAGCCAACACACAACCAACAGCCAUCCGUCACACUGAGGCUAAGCUUGUUCCACUUAGAAACACCUAAACUUAGCUUCAGCCAUCUUAGUUUUAGUACUCAACAAUUUACACUUUUUAAAUCUGGGUGUUUUAUGAUUUACUCUCAUUAUUAUGUUUUUAGGAUUGUUCUUACAGUAUGUGCACUGCAAUACAUCUAUCUAUCAUCUAUAUAUAGUCUGUCUGUCUGUCUGUCUGUCUGUCUGUCUGUCUGUCUAUCUAUCUAUCUAAUAAUAUUACCAUCUAAUGACUUAUGAAUUGUAGUUGAGUUAAAUAAGGAAGUUCAGCAAACUGUACAGUCUCUGUGCGAAUCACAUCUGCAUUUCUUGUACAUUUUCUCAAUUUAAAGCAUCAGAAAUUUAGCUUACAUGAAGAACUUUCAGCUGCAAAUGUUUUAUACCAAAGACAACAUAUCAGGUUUCUUUUAGUUACUCUGUUUCAAACAACCAGGAUUCAAGACAUCUUAAAGAACAUUGGCUUUAAAGCUGCAAAAGAAGAGUCUAGGGAGAAUUUUAACUCUCAGACAAGGCAUGCAGGAAAUUCAAUUCCUGUUGAUUAAACUCUCAGCUGUACGUUGAUUUAACUCAUCGUUUCAAAUCAAAAGCCCUCAAACCAGAACAGUCGAUGUUUAAAAGUUCUAAAAUAGUCUGGAAAUAUAAACUGCAUAUUAGCAUUAACCUAGAAAGGAGCAAAACUUCUGUAUUUACUUUGAGACAACAAAAAUGAUCCACCAAAUUCCUGCUAAAUGUUUGUUUAUACAGUGCAUAUAUGGAAUAAGUGACACCAGGAAAGAAAAGGAAGAUUUUUUUAAUCCUCUCACCUUGUCUUUUUUCUCGAUGGCAGCUCCAGCCUCCAGCAGAGUUUUCAUGACGUCCACAUGACCUCUGAAGGAAGCUUUGUGCAGAGCUGUUCUCUGGAACUGGUCAUCAGAUGGCAAAACAAGAUGUUCAUUUAAUGAUGAACUCGUGUUUAUCUUAAAGGAGCUCCAUGCAUGUAAUUACUGGACAGUUUAAACUAAUAUUGGCCUCAUUUUGUUAAGAAUUUAUAAUAAAGGGUGAGAAGUGAACAUGUAUUCCUUAUUAGUUAGAAACACUGACGUGGUCGGCAGCGUUUGGGUUUCCUCCGUCUUUCAGGUAUUUCUCCACUACAGGAAGUUUGUUCUCCAUAGCUGAAGUAAGAAACAGCUGCUCAUCCACGAUCUCUGGCUGCAAAACACAAGCACAGUUACUUUUUUUUUUAAACGGGUAAAGUGUCACACCCUCAACCUCAGCUGCAGUUAUGUUAGCACAUGAAGAAAAGUGUGAGUUUUCAUGGAAAACGUGAAAUUGUUUGUGUGACACCAAACCUUUGAAAUGUAUUUGUAUAUUCCUGGUGUAAAAAGCUACAUUAAACGUUGCAUUUAUGGAC